GUGGCUAUAGCUCAAUUGGCCAGAGCAUCUGACUGUGGCUCAGAGGGUUGUGGGUUCGAGUCCCACUAGCCACCCA
rnacentral:tRNA from 1 species